AUUGAACGCUGGCGGCAUGCUUUACACAUGCAAGUCGAGCGGUAACAGGCCGAAAGGUGCUGACGAGUGGCGAACGGGUGAGUAAUGCAUCGGAACGUGCCCAGUCGUGGGGGAUAACGCAGCGAAAGCUGCGCUAAUACCGCAUACGAUCUAUGGAUGAAAGCGGGGGACCGUAAGGCCUCGCGCGAUUGGAGCGGCCGAUGUCAGAUUAGGUAGUUGGUGGGGUAAAGGCUCACCAAGCCAACGAUCUGUAGCUGGUCUGAGAGGACGACCAGCCACACUGGGACUGAGACACGGCCCAGACUCCUACGGGAGGCAGCAGUGGGGAAUUUUGGACAAUGGGCGCAAGCCUGAUCCAGCAAUGCCGCGUGCAGGAAGAAGGCCUUCGGGUUGUAAACUGCUUUUGUACGGAACGAAACGGUCCUGGUUAAUACCUGGGGCUAAUGACGGUACCGUAAGAAUAAGCACCGGCUAACUACGUGCCAGCCGCCGCGGUAACAC
rnacentral:rRNA from 1 species